rnacentral:rRNA from 1 species
CAGCCGCCGCGGUAAUACGUAGGGUGCAAGCGUUAAUCGGAAUUACUGGGCGUAAAGCGUGCGCAGGCGGUCCGCUAAGACAGAUGUGAAAUCCCCGGGCUUAACCUGGGAACUGCAUUUGUGACUGGCGGGCUAGAGUAUGGCAGAGGGGGGUAGAAUUCCACGUGUAGCAGUGAAAUGCGUAGAGAUGUGGAGGAAUACCGAUGGCGAAGGCAGCCCCCUGGGCCAAUACUGACGCUAAGGCGCGAAAGCUAGGGGAGCAAACAGGAUUAGAUACCCCUGUAGUCCCUGUCUCUUAUAC